rnacentral:rRNA from 1 species
AGGAUCCAAGCGUUAUCCGGAUUUAUUGGGUUUAAAGGGUGCGUAGGCGGCUAAUUAAGUCAGGGGUGAAAUACGGCAGCUCAACUGUCGCAGUGCCUUUGAUACUGGUUAGCUUGAAUAUGGACGAAGAUGGCGGAAUGAGACAAGUAGCGGUGAAAUGCAUAGAUAUGUCUCAGAACUCCGAUUGCGAAGGCAGCUGUCUAGGUCAUUAUUGACGCUGAUGCACGAAAGCGUGGGGAUCAA